CUCAAUUGACCAAGAAGGUGUAGGGCUACGAACCCUUACUUUCUAGGAUGCAACUCCGAGAUUAAUUCUCGUCUUAAUCAACUAUCAACAAACUGUCCUGAGUCUGAAAAAUGGAUAGGAAGAGGGGUGAGAUUAUGAUUACAUAAUCCCAAUGAGUAAAUAGACACCAUCUAAACUAUUGAAAGGCGAGUAAAGGGAGACAAUUAAAAAUAGUUCAUUUCAGUAAAUUUUUCACAACACGAAUAUUCAUUUCAACCAAAUAAUCAAUAUGGCUCGUGAAUUUCUCAAAACUUGGCUCCUACCAAAAUCAUUCUCGCGGGUACCUUCGUCAAGGUAUCCCACUGAGACCGCUAAGGCUGUUAAAUGUACCAUACCCAUAAACAUGUUUUCGCAUCUGACACACAGCCGUUCCUUGACGUUGGCUGAGUCUCACUCUCACGCGGUGGUUAAUGUGAAGUGCACUCAAAAAGCCCACCUCAGGAGAUACCCUACGCGCCUCUAUGACCGAGGUGAGAAUAUAAAAGAGUUUAUUGUGCCCCUCUAAUAGGCUGGUCCACAGAACCCCCCACUACUGCAGUAGCUAAUCUUUAAUCCACCAAUUGAUCAAAUCUCAAUGGCAUAGCAUGGCAAUUACAUUACUAACCAAUUUAUCAAGGCAAAACAGACAGUUCAUAUUUUUCAACACAGGUAUAAAUUCAUCCAAUCAUGCCAAUUUAUCACAAGUCAUUUAAUUCAAAUCAUAAUUUAAAAUAACUCACAUGGUUUCCAAUUACUCAAAUUUUCAAAGCCAUCAUUCAAUUUCAAGACAAUUUUAUGAAAUCAUUUUAUUAAAUCACAUUUUGUUUAUAAAACAUAAAGAUUUACCAUUUAAACUCAUUUUUCAUAAAAUCAUAAAAUCGGAUAAAAACCACUUUAGAUAAUUAAGACGAUAAUAGGUUUACUCACAGUUCUAGGAGUAGAAAUACUCCUAUUUUCAGUCCGCGGGUACAGUCUUUUACCCGUAUCCAAUGGCUUAACACCUAGCCAUAAUCCAUGACACAUAUUCCAAUUAAAUUGUGUCUAACAGUCAUAAGCUAUUUCAGGCUCGAUAUAUAUAUGCAUGAAAUGAAAUGAAAAAUGCACGGGUAGCCACCUAGAUCCGGUAUUGGCCUAAGUCGAUUUUUCAUAUGAUAAAUUGGCCAAUGCGUCCAAUUUCACUCCAACUUGCUCCAUUUCUUUUCCAAUCCCUCAAUUCACCAAGCACAACUAAUUAACACACAAUUAGGCAAAAUUUAUCUUCACUUUUCUUCUUGGAACUUUCGGCCAAUAAUGGUACACUAACUCCGUGAUUUCUCCUACUUAAUUUUCUCUACAUAAUUCAUUAAUUCCUACACCAAAAACUAUUAUUUCUUAAUCAAAUUACCUAGAAUAACAUCCCAUUCUUCCUCAUUAUUCAAUUAGAGAAUUCGGCUAUUGAUGGGUUCCAAACCUUUGGUGGUUUUCUUCACUUGUUUUCAUGCUACACAUCAUUAAUCACCUAAAAACACUAACAUACCUAAAAAUCAAACCAAUCCAAGAUCAUUCUCUCUCCAUACCCAUUUUGACCAGCCAUGAAUUCAUCAUGAAAACAUGUAAUUUAACCACGAAAAAUAAGGAAAAAUGUAUGGGUAAGGUAAAUCACUAGCAAAAUCAAAGAAAAUUUACCUUUGCUUGAUCAAAUCCUUGAAUUCCAACACUUUCUCUUUGAUUUUUCCCACCUAGGGCUUGUUCUUCCUUGGUUUCUCUUCUCUUCUGGUUUGG
rnacentral:lncRNA from 1 species